rnacentral:rRNA from 1 species
AUGAAUGCUGGCGGCGUGCCUAACACAUGCAAGUCGAGCGGUAACAGGAGUAAUUUAUUACUUGCUGACGAGCGGCGGACGGCUGAGUAACGCGUGGGAACGUGCCCCAAAGUGAGGAAUAAGCUCCAGAAAUGGAGUCUAAUGCCGCAUAUGAUCUUCGGAUUAAAGGAUUUAUCCGCUUUGGGAGCGGCCCGCGUUGGAUUAGGUAGUUGGUAGGGUAAUGGCCUACCAAGCCGACGAUCUAUAGCUGGUCUGAGAGGAUGAUCAGCCAGACUGGGACUGAGACACGGCCCAGACUCCUACGGGAGGCAGCAGUGAGGAAUCUUCCACAAUGGGCGAAAGCCUGAUGGAGCAACGCCGCGUGAAGGAUGAAGGCCCUAGGGUCGUAAACUUCUUUUAUAAGUGAAGAAUAUGACGGUAACUUAUGAAUAAGCACCGGCUAACUACGU